rnacentral:rRNA from 1 species
AGCAGCCGCGGUAAUUCCAGCUCCAAUAGCGUAUAUUAAAGUUGUUGCAGUUAAAAAGCUCGUAGUUGAAUUUCGGGAUUAGUACGUUGGUCGUGCCUUAGGUACGUACUGGUGUUACUGGUUCCUACCUUCUGACGAACCAUCAUGUCAUUAAUUUGGUGUGGCGGGGAAUCAGGACUGUUACUUUGAAAAAAUUAGAGUGUUUAAAGCAGGCUCGCGCUUGAAUACAUUAGCAUGGAAUAAUGAAAUAGGACGUUGACCCUAUUUUGUUGGUUUUUAGGAUUGACGUAAUGAUUAAUAGGGAUAGUUGGGGGCAUCAGUAUUCAAUUGUCAGAGGUGAAAUUCUUGGAUUUAUUGAAGACUAACUACUGCGAAAGCAUUUGCCAAGGAUGUUUUCAUUAAUCAAGAACGAAAGUUAGGGGAUCGAAGACGAUCAGAUACCGUCGUAGU